CGUAAAUCCCCAUUGGGCCGUACAUGCUGUCUCUGCCUCCUACUAUACUGAAUCCCAGGCCCUGGAAUACCAUGAGAGCGCUUUAUAUGGAGGGGACCAAGUGCGCUGAACUUAGAGAGCGAGAUGGUCUAACCACAGCCUGCAGAGAACGGGGAGAACACUAAUAAUGUGUGGCCUUUAAUCAGAUUGCAUGAUCCGGUCAACGUCCCUCACCUGUGGAAUGCUAUGAGGAAAUUCCAGCUGUUGAGAGAGAGACUUCCUGUUGCCGUAAAAUCCUGUGGUGGCGUGGGCGUGACACGGGAACAGCUCUGGCGUCUUCAUAAUGAUGGGUUGUCUCACUGGUGGAGUUGGAGCGAGAUCUUUUGCAGGACGUCUCUUGGCAGCUCUGAUCCUCAUCAUCGCA